GGUCAAUAAUGAAAUCUUGGCCUUGUCUCUAGAGAGGUGUUGUCUGAAAAGUCAUGCACAAUAGAGUUACACUGAGGACC
rnacentral:snoRNA from 1 species